rnacentral:lncRNA from 1 species
CAGGGAGCCGGGGGGUGUGGAUGGGGCAGGGGUCCGGGGGCGGCAGAUAGGAGGUGCGGGCCAGGCCACGACACCCUCCCCUAACCAGCCCUCUAUACAAUUUACAAAACUGGCCCCUGCUGUCUGCACAAGAGCCUGAGUGUCUGCAAUUCCCCUAAACCCCAGAGGCUCCCCUGGCGAUUCCCCUGCAGAGCAGGAGGCUCCCCCAGCCUGGGACACGUCCUCUGACGGCCUCAUCUUUCUCUCCCUCUCUAGGGCGCCGGGAGCUGUGGGGGCAGGGAGGACGGGACGUUUCGGAAGCCAGAGCCGUCGUUUGCGGAGCUGGAGAAGAGACUCAGCGAUUUCUCUCUGAAAAGUGCCAUGCUGCAGGAGGUGCUGCUGGGAUUCAAAGAGACGCUGCGACGGGAGCUGGGGAGCGACACAGGUACGUGUCUGUCUCUGACCGGCCAGGGGGAGAUUUCAGCCCCAUAACCAUGUUAACGACGGGGCAUCACGGCCUCCAGCCCCCAUGUGCAGCUGGAAAUGGUGGAACAAUGUGAAGCCGGGUGACCCCUGUGACUGAUUCACUCCUGCUGUGACGGGGAUUCAGAGUGAAUCCAGAUCUCAGGGGUGAGAAAUGCUUCAUUAUUUUGUAACCCUUUUGGGGGGUUACCCUGUGUUCCCCAGUCCCAGCACGGAGUCCUUCCCCACCUGCUUUUCCUAAAGGGUUUUGAUUUAUUCUCUUUGGGUUAAGAAUGUCUACUCUUGAUUCAGAUUCACCUUGUCCCAGAAACUGUUCCAUAGUUUUUCUG